ACCACCCUGCAACCUUAAUUAUUUUCAUUGCUACUUCAUAACUGUAAUUUUGCUACUGUUAUGAACUGUAAUGUAAAUAUCUGUGCUUUCCAAUGGCCUUAAGGGACUCCUGUGAAAGGAUCAUUUGAUCCAUGAAGUUUCGGUCCUUAGUCCUUUUCAACCUUUUGUCACUUGAACCACAGGUGGAAAACCAAUGCUCUGAGGGUUGGGAAUAGGAAUGAGAAGAAAACACGCAAUGGGAGGCACAGUUAAGGUGUGGACUUUGGCUCUGAAGGACAGUGACCUCAAUGGGAAAGAAGACAAUGAUGAAUGAGGGGAAGGAGGAGCUCAAGCUGCCCUGGUGCUGGAGGACAAGCUCUCUCUGACUUCAGGAAAGAUGUUGAAGGUAGACGGCAUCUUCCAACUUCCGGAG
rnacentral:lncRNA from 1 species